CUAGUCUGCUGUAUAUAUCUAUGGUCGGCACGUCUGGUAGCAUCUCUGACUGCUGUUGAUCUUGUUUUUGGAGUAAAACACGGUGGAAGCUGAAUUAGUGAGGAUGACUCCUGCUCCUGUCAUCUCUAAGCUCCUCACACAUCUUUACCUGCACAUGAGGAAAAUCACUCCUGUAGAAUGCAGAUGUUCAGAGGGAGAUGAUGCCACAUCUGGUCCAGCUGAUGGAAGGUCUUGAAGUUCUCUGACUGGCCUGGACUGAAGAUGGUCGUCUCACUGGAUUUAAGAUGCACAAUGAGGGACGUCUGCAGUGACUGAGAAAGAGUCUCACCACAUCCUGACAUGAGGAAAAAGACUUUAUUGAAGACUACAAUGAGAAAAACUAUCAGACAGCAGACGGCUGCAUUCAAGUCUGUAGCUGCUGAAUUCAUGGAUGAAUCAUCUGGCACUAGAGAGGAAGACCAUCAAACAUCCAUGUCAGCUGAUGGAGGUCCAAGAGUCUCACCAAACAAACAACCUACAGAGUGAAGACCUCCAAUCUGAUUGGACGGCCUCCUAUUCAGCCACGUUUUAGGCUGUUAGAUUGUUCCAGAUAAGACGAGUACAAGAUUCUUCAGAGCCGUUCUACCACGAGCCUGACAGGAAGAACUCCAACAGCUACUGAAUGUUCCUGUGGUUCCCUCAAGGCUACAGGAGGAGUCCUACGAGGACGAGCCGGUCCACCUGAUGGUGGCCAGUCGCUGCGGGUUCAAAGCCAACACCGACUACGUGGACUUCUACUGGACCACACGGAGGCCUUCAAACCGGACCAACAAGUUCAGUGACUCCCCGACUCGUGGGUCUGAGGACGCCACUGAGCCUCGGUCCAGCCGGCCUCCUGUCUGUGGGUGUUUGAGUGCUGAGAGGUUUGUGGAUCCAUGUGAACGUUCUGUGUUGAAACAGCAGCUUUGGACUCAGUAACGCCGGGAAAAACCAAGAGCUCCUUUAUUUGUGACUUCCACUAAAAAAACUGAUGAAAAUAAGUUUGCCAGGGUUCUGACUGAUAACAGAUUAUUAAAUAAUGAAAAUAAUCGUUUAAAUAUUCCUUUAAACAAUCCUUUUAGGUCUACAUUUCCUUUAAACUGACUUCUUGGUAUAUGUAGAAGUAUUUUGGGUGGAAUAUACCAUUAAGCCCAAUGUUCAAGGGUUCUUCUGGGAAUAUACCAUUAAACCAACCUUUUAGGUAAAUGUUCCAGGAUGUUGGGUAGAAUAUACCAUCAGAUAAACCUUUUAGGUCUACAUUGGAAGAUUUUAGAGUAGAAUAUUACUCCAAACCAUCCUUUAGGUCUACAUUUAAGGUGGAAUGCUCCUUUACACCAAGAUUUUUUUGGUCUACAUUGAAGGAUUUUAGGUGGAAUAUUCCUUUGAACGAACUUUUUAAGUAAAUGUUCAAGGAUGUUGGGUGGAAUAUACCAUCAGACCAACCUCCAAGGUCUACAGUAGUGAAUUUUAGGUGGAACAUACCAUUAAACUCACCUUUUAGGUCUAUAUUGGAGGAUUUUAGGUGGAAUUUUCUUCCAAACCGUCUUUUAGUCUACAUUUAAGGAUGUUUAGAAUGGUAUAUUCUUCCAAACCAACUUCUCAGGUCUACAUUUCAGGUGGAAUAUUCCUCCAUACUAACUUUUUUGGUCUACAUUGAAGGAUUUUUUCUAAACCACCCUUUCGGGUCUAUAUUUGAGGUUUUAGGUGGAAUAUUCCUUUUAAUCAGCCCCUCAGGUCUCUUUGAGGAUUUUGGAUGGAAUACUCGGUUAAACCAACAUUUUAGGUGCAUGUCCAAGGAUUCUUGGUGGAAUGUUCCUUUAAGGUGGAUGCGUGAGGACCUUGUAGGUGGAAUACUUCCUGAAACCAACCUUUUAGGUCAACAUUCAAAGAUUUAAGGUGGAAUAUUCCUUUAAACCAACCUAAAUUUCAUGUUUUGAUCAUUAUCAAGUGAGAAACCUCAAUCCAGACUCCUCAUAAUGACGUUUGAGAUUUAUGCUGCUGUUAUUUGUUUAGUCCAGACUAAAUGACAGAAAUCCACAACUGUAAUUUUAUUUCAGGACUCGGUUAUUAAAUGUCAAAACAAUCCAUGUGACUCUAAAAACUCAACAGCUUUACAAACUCUAAAGUUAAACUCUUCACAAGGAUCCAAAAUAAGUUGGACUUCUACAUGAGAGCUUUAAUUAUUCUUCAUCUACUUCCUGAAAAGUUUGGUCAAUAAAAAAGACAAAAACUAAUAUUUUCAGCUGAACUACAGACAGACUUUGUGAUUUUUCUGCUCACAUGUUGUGUUGUUGUAAACUUCCUCUUUCAAAUAAAUAUCCUCCUAACCCCCUG
ensembl:lncRNA